rnacentral:lncRNA from 1 species
GAAAUUGAACCACCGGUACAAUCCUCGGUCAAUCCACAAAUCAUGGAGACAAACUGCUGGAGAACAGGGAGAUCAACAACCCAAAGGUUCAACCCUAGAUGGGGAAGGAGAUCUGCUGAGGAUAAAACAUCAUAAAAAUGGGAGACAGCCUUACUGGAGAAGAAGUCAAAAGCUGCUCAGGAACCAAGAGGAAACUCUGACUGGGGAGCAAGGAUAGAUGGCGAUUGGUGGGGACACC